UACGUAGGGAGCAAGCGUUGUCCGGAAUCAUUGGGCGUAAAGCGCGCGUAGGUGGCUCUAUAAGUCCGUUGUGAAAGUCAAAGGCUCAACCUUUGAAAGCCGAUGGAUACUGUCGGGCUCGAGUACGGAAGAGGCGAGUGGAAUUCCUGGUGUAGCGGUGAAAUGCGCAGAUAUCAGGAGGAACACCGAUUGCGAAGGCAGCUCGCUGGGACGUCACUGACGCUGAGACGCGAAAGCGUGGGGAGCAAACAGG
rnacentral:rRNA from 1 species